GCGAGAGACCGAUAGCGA
rnacentral:snRNA from 1 species